AGACAAACCGAAAAACAAUGUCCUGACAUCCCUGUACACACCAUUAGCGAUAAAAUUAAUAUUGCUUUGAGAAUAGAAGAUUAUGAAGAGUACUUUAAGCGGAAACAUGCAGA